AAACUGUAGCAUAGCAGCAAACUCUUUCUGCAAUGCGUUUUCUCCUCUAAAUUUAUGCAAUUGAUUCCUUCCUACUAGUUUCUGUUUGGUAGACUCUCUAGCUUGUUUAUCUCCAUUUUAUCACUUCUAAAUCCUUGCUUGUGUAAUUAGGAAUGUAUUAGAAAGAGGGAAGGUUUGAAAACAAGAAAAUACACAAGCUCUUGGCUGUCCUUCCAGUGCAGAAAAAAUUCAGCAACUUCAACCCUUGAUUCCUAUUAAGUUUCAGCACCUUAGUUUGCUUUUAUUUCAUCUCUUCAACUCAGCCUCAAUAUGUGACAUUAGGACAACCAAAUGACCUUAAAAUCUCAGACCAAAACCAGCUCUUAAGUAGCUGAAACUAAGGGGAACAGCAACACACACAACAACAGCAGAAAGUUGUAAGAGACAGCAGCAGUAACAGUCUCAUUUUGUUUUCCCUCUCCUUCUCACAUGUAAUCUCUUCUUACUCCAAGGACCCUCAUCUAUACAAUAUAUUCUAGUCCAGUGGAUGAAAUAUUCGAGCUCAGAAUGAAGCAAAACAGAAAACAAAAACAUCCUAUUUGCUGCAGCAGUUUUCAUAUUUGAAUCCCUCAUUGUUUACUGUAAUUUCUAAUCCUCUUAACUCAAGCCUCCUCACCUCUAACUUCAUUUGGUUGAGUAGUAGAAAGUAUGGUGGAGGAAAUGAUAAUUUGGAGCAAGAAAACAUCUAUGAAUUGAAGUUUGGAAAUGAAUCAAAGUUGCGGAAGGAAUCAAAGAAGGGAAAGAAUUGUGACCAUAACAAACUUCAACGAUUUAUCGUGGCUUUCAGGUGAAGAGAUUGAAGGACAUGAUUGCAUCUGGCUAGUUGUUUGUGGGGAUUUUUCUUUCAGUUCACUUCUAUGAGAUCUAGUGGGGUAGGAAAUUUCCUUUAUGACGAGCAUUUCUUUUAAUUUUGGCUUUGGAUUGCUAGCCGGGGAAAAGUAAAGUUGUUGCUUUUAAUAACUAUAAUGUAGCUUUUUUGUUUGCUACUUUACUUGUUUUUUGGCAGUCUGGAUAGACCAAAAAGAUUCAUUUUGGUGUUGUAGGGGUUGCAGUUUUUCAGGAUCAAGAUAUUGGUUUUUUUCGAGUUUUGUGAUCGUAAAGUUUGGAUCACUUAUGGCGUAGGUUGUUUACAUGUAAAGUUGUGGUUUGCUUGGUUUUGGUUUAUAAAUAGGCAUGUUUAGAUUGGUUUUAUUGAUUUAUUGAUUUAGUUUAAUGUAUAGGUUGUUUUUAUUUUACUGGAUUUUGAUGCUUGGGAUGGUUUUUCUUGAAUAUUUGUAAAUCCCAUGUGUCCUGCUUGUUAUCACGGUAUUCCUCCGCCAUAAGUGAGGACAAUCAAUAAAAUUGGGGUACCGUCCUCUUCUUAAAAAA